GACGAACGCUGGCGGCGUGCUUAACACAUGCAAGUCGAACGCUGAAGCUCAGCUUUUGUUGGGUGGAUGAGUGGCGAACGGGUGAGUAACACGUGAGUAACCUGCCCCCUUCUUUGGGAUAACGCCCGGAAACGGGUGCUAAUACUGGAUAUUCACUGGUCUUCGCAUGGGGGUUGGUGGAAAGGGUUUUUCUGGUGGGGGAUGGGCUCGCGGCCUAUCAGCUUGUUGGUGGGGUGAUGGCCUACCAAGGCUUUGACGGGUAGCCGGCCUGAGAGGGUGACCGGGCACAUUGGGACGGAGCUACGGCCCAGGCUCCUACGGGAGGCAGCAGUGGGGAAUAUUGCACAAUGGGCGCAAGCCUGAUGCAGCGACGCCGCGUGAGGGAUGGAGGCCUUCGGGUUGUGAACCUCUUUCGCUCAUGGUCAAGCCGCAACAAUGGUUGUGGUGAGGGUAGUGGGUAAAGAAGCGCCGGCUAACUACGUG
rnacentral:rRNA from 1 species